GGGGGCGGUCGGUCGGCCGGCGGCGGGGCCGGCCGGUUCCCUGCUGGCACGCCCACCCGCGCGGCGGCGGCGGGCGGUGGCGGUCGGCGAGCUCGGUCGCCCGGCGGGGACGCUCCCAUCCUCUCCCCUCUCCUCCCUCCUCGCAGCCCGGGGCGGCGCGGCCGUAGCGGGCGGGGCUGCGGACGCCCGUUCCCCGCACCUGCCCGGCCGCCGGGCCCUCAGCCCCUCCCGCGGGCGGCUGCCGUCCGCGGCCCGCGCCCGCCGCGGCCCCGAGGGGAGCCCCUUCCCUUCCUUUCCCCUCCCCUCCCCUCCCUCGGCCGCCGCCCGCCCUGAGCCGGGAUGUUCUCCAGGAAGGGCCACGCCGAUGUCAGGAAAUCCACCCAGAAGGCGCUGGACCCCAAGCGGGACGUACUCACCCGCCUCAAGCACCUCCGGGCGCUGCUGGAUAUUGUGGAUGGAACUGACCUGAAGCAAUUUUUUGAGAACAAUUAUUCUCAAAUUUAUUUUAUAUUCUAUGAAAACUUCAUAACACUGGAAAACAGCUUGAAACAAAAAGGGAAUAAAUCACAAAGGGAGGAGCUGGACUCCAUUCUCUUUCUUUUUGAAUUUUGUUUCCUGCAGAAAAUAUUGCAGCUACUACCUGAGAGGAUUUUUUAUCGAUGGCAUUUUCGCAGUAUAGGGUCGAUUCUGAAGAAACUUUUGCACACUGGAAAUUCUCUCAAGAUAAGAUGUGAAGGAAUCCGACUGUUUCUUCUUUGGCUUCAAGCUCUUCAGACUAAUUGUGCGGAAGAGCAGAUAUUAAUAUUUGCAUGCCUUGUGCCUGGCUUUCCACCCAUUAUGUCUUCACGAGGUCCCUGUACACUAGAUAACCUCAUUAGUCCUCCUAAUUUGCCAGACGCUAAGAUUUUUCCAGAAGAAAUAACCCCACUUUUGCCAGCUGUCUCUGGAGAGAAAAUCGCUGAAGACCAAACCUGCUAUUUUCUUCAGCUACUGUUAAAAUACAUGGUAAUUCAGGCUGCAAGCUUAGAGUGGAAGAAUAAGGAGAACCAAGACACUGGUUUUAAGUUUCUCUUUACCUUGUUUAGAAAAUACUAUCUUCCUCACUUGUUUCCAUCUUUUACAAAGCUAACCAACCUCUACAAACCUGUUCUUGAUAUUCCUGAUAUAAGACCAAGACCAGUAUACAUUACUGCAACACGAAACAAUGAAAAUGUCUAUAGCACAAAAAUCCCAUAUAUGGCAGCUCGAGUUGUUUUUAUUAAGUGGCUUGUUACUUUCUUUCUUGAAAAGAAAUACUUAACUGCUGUUCAGAAUACAAAAAAUGGAGGAGAAAUGCUCCCUAAAAUUAUUCAGACUGUUGGUGUUGUAAACCAAGAUAAAAAUGCAGAGCUGGAAACCAGUAUGUCUUAUGCAAGCGAGCAGGAGAGAAGCCAUUCUAACAGCAGCACCUUGUCUGACAGAAGGCUCAGCAAUUCCAGCCUCUGCAGCAUCGAAGAGCAGCACCGGACUGUCUAUGAGAUGGUGCAGAGAAUCCUCUUAUCCACUCGAGGAUAUGUUAACUUUGUUAAUGAGGUGUUUCGACAAGCUUUUUUAUUGCCACCUUCUGAUGUAUCUGCAACACGAAAAGUGGUUAAGGUGUAUCGAAAGUGGAUACUGCAAGAGAAACCUGUGUUCAUGGAGGAGCCAGACAAAAAGGAAGACAGUCAGGAUGCUGUUGUCAACUUAGAGGAUUCAUCAGUGCAAACGGAUGGUAAACAUCUUUCCUCUGACCAUUCAGGACAUAAGCGCUCAUCCAGCUGGGGAAGAACAUACUCCUUUACCAGUGCUGUUAGCAGAGGAUGUAUAUUAGAAGACGAGGACAAAAAUGUUAAAGCUGGUGCUCAAGCUGCGUUACAGGUAUUCUUGACAAACUCAGCGAAUGUUUUCUUAUUGGAACCAUGCAUUGAAGUCCCUGUGCUUUUGAAGGAGCAAGUUGAUGCUUGCAAAGCAGUUCUGAGUAUCUUUAGGCGCAUGAUAAUGGAACUAUCAAUGAAUAAGAAGACAUGGGAACAGAUGUUACAGAUACUCCUUAGAAUAACAGAAGCUGUGAUGCAGAAGCCAAAAGAAAACCAAACAGAGGAUACGUUCGCUCAAAGCAUGUCAGGAUUACUUUUCCGAACCCUCAUUGUGGCUUGGGUCAGAGCAAACCUGAGCGUUUACAUUUCUCGGGAGCUGUGGGAUGAGCUGCUCAGUGUUCUGUCUGCCCUGACAGACUGGGAGGAGCUCAUAAAUGAGUGGGCCAAUAUCAUGGACUCUCUAACAGCGGUGCUAGCAAGGACCGUGUAUGGGGUGGAAAUGACAAACUUGCCAUUGGAUAAGCUCAGUGAACAAAAGGAAAAAAAGCAGAGAGGAAAAGGUGGCAUUUUAGAGCCUCAGAAGACAGCUGUAGUGGGAAGAUCUUUUUCAUUAAGUUGGAAAAGUCAUCCUGAAGUUGUGGAACCAAUGAGGUUCAGAAGUGCUACAACUUCUGGAGCCCCAGGAGUUGAGAAAGCAAGAAAUAUUGUUCGUCAGAGAGCAACAGCUAAGCGAAGCCAGUCUAUCAGCAACUGUGUUCAUCUUUAUGAGGCUUUGCCAGCUACUAAAAGUGUACCUCUUCUGCUUCACACUGUGAGCUCUCUUUUACCUGGUAUCUCUUACACUUCUUGCUCUCACAGACUGUCAGAAGUUGAAGAAUCUCAACAGCUGGAAAAUUCAACAGGCCUAUUUGCAGACCAAGAGCAGCAGCUAACUCGAAGUAGCAGCACUUCAGAUAUUACAGAUCAGUUCCCAUCUGAUUUUUUUCAAGGUAAAAAGACUGGAAGUUCUCAUAAUUUAACUCCUUCAGACUCCAAAUCAGUUCAGGAAAAUAAGGGAUAUACAAAGAAGGAACAUGAAGCUGAGCAAGUACUAGUACGAAGAAGCAGUAGUACAGCUGAAUUAGAUUUGAAAGUAGACUUGCAGCAAUCACAUGGAAAUCAGAGAGAGAGAGAAAAAAGUGAAAGCAUUAGCAGUGACACAUCCAAUGGCUAUAAUAAUGAAGUAGAGAUCGCACUUAUCCCCUGGCAAGCUUCUGAAGAAGACCAUGAAGUUAAUGCAUCAGCAGAUGUUUGUGUGGAUCCUGAUGCACCUCGCUGGCUUCAGCUUAGUCCUUCAGAUACUGCAAAUUUAACAGACAGUAGUGAAUUCCUUGCUGAUGACUGCAGUAUAAUUGCUGGUGGAAGCCUUAUCGGUUGGCAUCCUGAUUCUGCUGCUGUGCUAUGGAGGAGGAUCUUGGGAAUUCUUGGAGAUGUGAACAAUAUACAGUCACCUAAAAUCCAUGCGAAAGUUUUUGGGUAUCUUUAUGAGUUGUGGUAUAAACUUGCAAAGAUACGGGACAACCUUGCUAUAAGCGUGGACAAUCAGUCUACUCCCUCUCCUCCUGUCUUGAUCCCUCCUCUCAGAAUAUUUGCAUCAUGGUUGUUCAAGGCAACCACCCUGCCAAAUGAAUAUAAGGAAGGCAAACUUCAGGCAUACAGGCUGAUCUGUGCUAUGAUGACUAGGCGUCAAGAUGUUCUGCCAAAUUCUGAUUUCCUGGUUCAUUUUUAUUUUGUGAUGCACCUUGGCUUAACAAGUGAAGACCAGGAUAUCUUAAAUACUGUCAUAAAGCACUGCCCACCUUGGUUUUUCUUCCUGGGCUUACCUGGCUUUACAAUGCUGAUAGGAGACUUCAUUACCGCAGCGGCCAGGGUUCUGAGCACAGACAUGCUAGAGGCUCCCCGUUCAGAAGCUCACACCAUCCUUGGUUCUCUUGUUUGCUUUCCAAAUAUCUACCAAGAAAUCCCACUGUUGCGGCCCAUUUCAGAAGCCGGUGAAAUCAUCGCAGGAACUGCAGAUGUGAAGUGUUACCUCAUAAAUAUUUUAUUGAAGAAUGCUACAGAGGAGCCAAGUGAAGGUGCAAGAUGCAUAGCCAUUUGUGGCCUUGGAGUUUGGAUAUGUGAAGAACUAACGCAGUGCACAAACCACCCCCAAGUGAAGGAAGCAAUCAAUGUCAUAGGUGUGACACUGAAGUUUUCUAAUAAACUGGUAGCUCAGGUAGCCUGUGAUGUUCUUCAGCUGCUGGUUUCUUACUGGCAAAAGCUUCAGAAGUACGAAUCCUCUCUGUCCAGAAAAAUUACUGAAAUCCUUGUGGCCACUAUUGCAUUUCUUUUGCCGAGUGCUGAAUACUCCUCUGUGGAAGCAGAUAAAAAGUUUAUAGUUUCACUGCUACUUUGCUUGUUGGAUUGGUGUAUGGCAUUACCCAUGAAAAUGCUACUGGAGCCGGUGUCUGCUGGUGUUCUUGAAGAUCAGCAUGCAUCCAAAGCUCCUUUACUGGACUAUAUUUACAGAGUUCUGCACUGUUGUGUGAAUGGCUCCAGCACGUACACUCAGCAAAGCCAUUAUGUGCUGAGUCUGGCAGAUCUCUCGUCCAGUGAUUACGACCCAUUUUUGCCACUGGGGAGUGUCAAGAGCUCUGAGCCAGCCCAGUGCCACUCCUCCACGGAUUUGGGCAACCUGCUCACUGUCGCUGAGGAAAAAAAAAGGAGGAAUUUAGAAUUGAUACCUUUAACAGCACGGAUGGUUAUGACUCACCUGGUGAAUCACCUGAGCCACUACCCACUCAACGGAGGCCCUGCCAUUCUUCACAGUCUCCUUAGCGAGAACCACGACAACUCCUAUGUGGAGUCCUCCGAGCUGUCCUCAGAAGUCUUCCGGAGUCCCAACCUGCAGCUCUUUGUAUUUAAUGACAGUACUCUUAUAUCUUACCUCCAAAUCCCUACAGAGAAGACGACGAACACUGAGCCAGCAGCAACCCCUUCGGACGUAAGGGUAAUUGUCAGAGAUAUCUCAGGGAAGUACUCUUGGGAUGGGAGAAUAUUGUAUGGACCUCUGGAGGGCUGCCUUCCACGGCAGAGCAGAACGAAUGCAUUUGUGAUCUCAGGCAACCCUGAGCACCACUUCAUUUCCCAGAAAGACAUUUUUCAGGUGGAAGAAGGAGAAGACGCUCUCGACCAAUUGCUGGAAAAGAUUGCUAACACCAGUCCUGAAUGCCUUUUACAUCCCCAACGAAAGCUGAAUGAGCCAUCGCCGCCACCCUUUGGUAUGAGCUACGACCAAGAGAAUGCAAUCACUGAAGCCCUGAUGAGGCAGAGCGACCAGGAAAAAGAAUAUAUAUUUAAAUGCAGCUCGGACUUCAGUAUGAAGGUGGCCCGUCAAGAAGAACCACGUCCUGCUGAACCUCAAGCAUCCUUUUAUUUCUGUCGGCUGUUGCUAAAUGACUUGGGAAUGAACUCCUGGGACAGAAGGAAAAGCUUUCAUCUUCUUAAGAAAAAUUCAAAAUUACUGCGAGAACUGAAAAAUCUGGAUUCCCGCCAAUGCCGUGAAACUCACAAGAUUGCAGUGUUUUACAUUGCAGAAGGACAGGAGGACAAAUGUUCAAUACUGUCCAAUGCAAGGGGAAGCCAGGCAUAUGAAGAUUUUGUUGCUGGACUGGGCUGGGAGGUUGAUCUUUCAACACACGGUGGGUUUAUGGGUGGCCUGCAGCGCAAUGGCAGCACAGGACAAACGGCACCCUAUUAUGCUACCUCUACUGUGGAAAUAAUUUUUCAUGUGUCUACAAGAAUGCCAUCAGAUUCAGACGAUUCACUGACCAAAAAGCUUCGUCACUUGGGAAAUGAUGAGGUUCACAUCGUCUGGUCUGAACACACCAGGAACUACCGCAGAGGCAUUAUACCAACAGAUUUUGGAGAUGUUUUAAUUGUUAUUUAUCCAAUGAAGAAUCACAUGUUUUUCAUAGAGAUAAUGAAGAAACCAGAGGUGCCAUUUUUUGGUCCUCUCUUCGAUGGAGCAAUCGUGACUGCAAAACUGCUGCCAAGCCUCAUAUGUGCCACGUGCAUCAAUGCCAGCAGAGCCGUCAAGUCACUCAUCCCGCUCUACCAGAGCUUUUAUGAGGAGAGAGCUCUGUAUCUCGAAGCAAUAAUCCAGAACCAUAAAGAAGUAAUGACAUUUGAGGAUUUUGCUGCUCAGGUCUUUUCUCCCUCUCCCAGCUACUCCCUUGGUGGAACUGAGUAAAACCUGCCACAGUCAGGUCCUGAUUUUCAGACUUCCGAACAUCAGAAUUUAUUUCACACUCAAAAAGAACCUGGAGGCCGGUCAUGACUUCUGGCAUCAAAAUCUUUGCUUCAGAGAGUCUCCUCACAUUACCUACUGAUUUACUUGCCUAGUUAGUCGACUGUUACCAAGAGCUGUGUCAGUUGUUGCCAUUAGGAUGUAUUUUCCAUCAGAUGCCGUCCUGGCAAUCAGCAAGGAGGGUGAGCGUAAGCCUUGCAACUCGGCCGCUGUUGCCAGCCGCCGCUCGGGCGAGUCCCCGUCCCACGAGCAGGGGCCUGCUGCGGAGCUGCCUGCGGACCACGAGCAGCUGCCUCAGCCUUGCCUGUUUCCAUGUUUAUCGUGCUUAGAUUGGCGGGGUACUACAAAUGUACCGGCAGCGUCCGGAAAUAAAUGAAGAACCAGCUCGGGUGCAAUUUGACUAAGUUUGCAGCCAUCUAUUCAUCCCUGUUAAUGAUUAGAAAGGGGAUGGAAAACUAUUCUGGAGCCGCCAGUUCCCCUGUCAGCGUGGGCACAGCCGGGGGCAAGCAGGAUGGUCUCAGGCUGUGAACGGCGGCAGCUCUGCGUUUUCCAGCGUGCAGCAUGUCCCCCCGUGCCGCAGGCAGUUAGACCUCCUCCAAGCUUAGAUUCACCUGUCCUGUGCCUGCAAAAUCAGCUGUCUGCCGCUCAAGAAAUACGGAUGGCAUUUUUCUUCAUGUAAAAGGGGAAUUUCUAUUCUGAAACAGAAAAAACGAAUCAUGGAGCAAUAAAUGUAUGGAGCUGAUGCAGGUCUGUGUUUCCCCUUCUCAGCAAGCCAGCUGAUACUACUCACCCUGCCUAGCCUAAACUUUUCAGAUUAGAAUAUGUAACGGUCUCGUUACGGUAAUUGCCGCAGGUAAGAGCGAUGCUUCCCGCAGGCCCUGCUGCUGCUGGCGUUGUGCUCCAUCACUAACAGCUCUCCUCCUCCUCCUCCUCCUUUUCCUCCUCUUCCUCCUCCUGUGCUCAGCGUGCGGCUGCGGCAGCUCUGGGGCUCUCUGGGUCUGUCUUUGCCUGUCCCUGUCGCCACCGCCCCAUCUCCUCCCGCCCCCUGCACACCGAGCCCCGUGGGGUGCCCACUGCCCGCCCGCCCGCCCGCCCAGGCGGCUGCCGCUCCCUCCGGCUGCUGCCAGGCACGGCCAACGCCAGCACCUGCCGCAGUGGGAAGCGUUUUGGUCUCGGCUGGGCCUCUUUGUGUGUGUGUUUGUGGCCGGGGCACCAUGGGACGGGAUCAGGGACGGGGCAGCCACCUGCAAUAUGCCGGGUGCAACCCCUGGCCCACCUGCACAGCAUCACCUCCGCAGCGGUGCUCGCCCAGAAACCACCGUGACUUGCAGGAGAAGAGUUGCUGUGCAGCUUUUGGUGGUUUUUUCCCCCCUUUUUGCAGAUUUCACCUUUGGCUGAGCUGUGAUUUUUAAGCACUCCGCUGGUCCACCUGUGAGUCAGAAACCAGUAUUUUUUAUUUACUACACCAUUGCGGAGCUGCUGCUUGGUUUUUACAACUUACAAUUUCACAUUGCCUGUGAACCCUCUGAAACAAACGCAGCAAGAGAGAAAAUAACCCCUCCUCCGUAUCACUGCAAAAAGUAAAAGAACUACGCCUCUCACGAGCAUCUUAACUUCAAUACCAACACGACGCCGAUUUUCCUGUGCACGUCCCGGUGGGCGCGCGCAGCCCGGCUUCUCUCCCUGGCGCGGCUGAGCGAGUGGAGCCUCGUCUCUGAACAAAGUUGGAGGCUCCCCUUACAAGACGGCCAAGUAAUUAGAGUUCAUGCCAGACAGCUUGCAAGUGGAAUUAUAAUAUUUGUAUGAAAGCCUUUAUCUUUUGUGGUUAUUACUUGCUCACUCUGCAGCUGCUGUCUCCCUAUCAAUCAAGGCGGUUUCGGGGGAGCUUCAAGGUUGAUUGCAUAGCUAAGGACUCGCCAGAAGAAAGUUCGGACUGGAGGAAUGUGCCGGCUCCCGAGGCGGGCGGAUGCUGCGGGUGCUCCCGGAGCGAGGUGUGCCUCGCCCGCACCCCCGCCUGCCGCAGCCGCCCUGCUUUUCAUAUGCGCAGGCGAUGCAUUGUUCAGCGCUUGCAUGAAUAUUGCUUGAGCUUGUCCAUUUGGUGAAAACUGUAUUAUUUUGACCAUCUGCCAUUCUGCUUAACUGCAGGAAUGUAAAGUACGACACCUCCCUGACAGCCCUUCCCUCCCCCACGCUUUUCUCCCCGCGAACAGCACCGCAGGUUGUUUUUAAUCCAAAACUGACAGCUCCACAUUUUUCACAGAAAAUGCCUUUGCUCGCUAAGUCACAUUUUUCACCUUUUUUUAAUGUGAUAUUUCCCCUUCAGUCAAUUGUCUUGAAGUAUAAAUCUGGUAAGUAAAGAUUGUCUUUGAAAUGCAAACGCCGGUUUGCAAACUGGCUGAGGGAUUUCAAAGGAGCCAGUGGUACUUUGGGUUUAGCUGCAGCCGGACCUCAGCAUUGUUCCCUUCACCGCUUUGAGUCAUUAAAAUAUCUAGAGUUAGCUAAAGCACGAGGACAAAAUUUUAACCCUUGUAGGGAGGAAACAGAACGCAAUGCUGCCCGUGCCCAACGAACUCCAUGGAGUUUCCGAGCGUUAUUCCCAAGAAGUAGCAGGAUCAAUGCAAGCUGUUACAACGCGCAGAGUGGGGCUGCUGCAAUUCCUAGUCAUGGGGUGGGAUAGGCUGUAGUGUUCGGCGUGAGGUUUAAAAUGCCCCGAAUCACUCGAGCCGUCUGUGGAAAACGCAGCUGAGUCAACUUGGGUCUUUGUCCUUAGACAGCAGGUUGAGUCCCAGGCGCCUUACUGCCUGCAGAGCCCUGCGGCUGCGACCUUGCCCACAGAUGUCCUGUCCGCCUUGCUAAGCCACGAAAAUUCCCCGACUUGUUUCCCAAGGGCAAGGCUCGCCCUGGUCGCGAGCGGGGUUGUGCCUGCUCACCACUGCCCGAUGGGCAGCUCAACCGUCGGCAGCUUCAGCCAAGGUACUGGCUGCGUUUUGGUGCGUUUUCUGCACGUUUGAGAGUCACCUGGGCUAAUAAAAGUUGAAGGGAGUAUUAAGGAUAGCCCUGUAAUCUUCAGUCGCAUAAACUAACAGCAAAUAAAGGCGCAGCCUGAAAACGUAGCUUAUUGUUGAACUGGAGAUAGGUUUGUGCUGCAAAACGCAACCAUCAGUCUGGAGUUCAGAGGUGGUUGCACGGCUGCCGAGACUGGCCCCGACCUUCGGCGUGGGCUUGGAGCCUUCCUCCCUUCUCCCCACAGGCUCACAAGCACCUGGGUAUGAGGCCGUUCCUCUGUCCCACCUCAAAUAAACACCUUUGUGUUAAGACUUAGAGGGAGAAUUUUAACAUGGUUUAAAAAUACCGUACCCCAAGGGAGCUGAUGAAAUGACACUGACGCUGGGAAGUGCCUCGGGACAGGUCAGAACCCCAGCAGCAAGAGCAGGGCUGGGUUGCAGCAUGCGUGUUUGUAUUCCUCAGAGCACCAUUACAGUCGCGCAGGGGAGAGGCAGGAGUUGCACAUGUGCACGCACCUCAGUUUAUUCAUUUACUUCUUAGUUUAAUGGCUGUAUCCUCAUCUGUUCUCAUUCAGACAACCUAUUUAGUCCUGGCCUCUAGUCGUAAUCGCCUGUGGGGAAUAAUUGAGAUGUAACUUCGUGUUGUUGAACAACAAAGCGUAAACACAUGUAGGCACUGCUACAGCCAUCCAGGUUCCCAGGCCCACAAAUAAAGUGCUUGAAUGGUACCCGAUAAUGAUGGGUACUUAGUGUCCUGUUUAAGUAGUGGAACUAAUCGGAAAAAAUUGGGAUUCUUUGGGGUUGUUUUCGGAGGCUAAGACGCCUUCCAGGUAGAGUUUCUUGAAAGCAUUCAUGCUAUGGAAACUCAUUUCCAGCUCUCUGUAGUAGAUUAAAUACAGAAGAGCCGUUCAGUGACAUGCAGGAAGAAAUAAUUUUACGUAACACACACUCGAAAGAAACACUUUUUGAGUUCUGUUAUGGGGGGGGGGGGGAUUUGUCGGAGCUUUGAGCGAGCAGGAUCGGUGCAUCCACCCCCCCACUAUCUCCCAGUGCUGGGCUGCGGGCGGCUGCUGGAGCUGCCAGCGCCCGCAGGGUCUGCGCCAACCGGCACCCCCAGCCCGAAAGGGGCUGCCGCCGGGGGGGCUUCCGCACACUCGCCUGGGCGCUGCCGAGUGCUCACGGCCCAGCCGCUCCUCGCUUUUUCUGGGAGCUGGCAAACAGAAAUUCCUUAUUUCUCCAGGAAAGCACAGCACGGCAGCUCCUCAGCUGCCUGGGCCAAAUUUCUACUAUAAAUGUCAGGUUCACCUGAGUGAUACCCAAGAUUAAUUUGGAAGAGGAGGUGGAGGGGGGCUGCAUUUCGCCAAGCAGGUGUUCUGAUGCAAAGACAGGCAGGCUGUUUCUGUCCUUACGCUAUUGUUUCUCUGCCUGUUCUGUUUUCCAGGCUGCCUCACCACAAGUGCAAGCGCUGACCUUACUGUCUCCAUAGGAAUAGAGUUAGCAGACCAGACCUCGCCCACGUUACCACGCGCCUCGAAGAGCAGAGUCUCCGGGAAGCUUCGC